rnacentral:rRNA from 1 species
UACGGAGGGUGCAAGCGUUAAUCGGAAUUACUGGGCGUAAAGCGCACGCAGGCGGUUGGAUAAGAUUGAUGUGAAAGCCCCGGGCUCAACCUGGGAAUUGCAUUUAAAACUGUCCAGCUAGAGUCUUGUAGAGGGGGGUAGAAUUCCAGGUGUAGCGGUGAAAUGCGUAGAGAUCUGGAGGAAUACCGGGGGCGAAGGCGGCCCCCUGGACAAAGACUGACGCUCAGGUGCGAAAGCGUGGGGAGCAAACAGG